UCGGAAGCCCAGCUAACAGUCAACGUUUAGAUGUUACACACUUCUACACCUUUCAGUCCUAAUCCGGGAGAAAUACACCCUAAUACUACAAGGGCAGUUUGAUAAAUAAGAACGCAUGGCCCGAUGAGGGCGGUGAUACGUUCGGAGCCGUUCGUCCCCGCCCGUUGGCGCUGCCGUGUGAAAACACAAAAAGCACACCAUCGUGUCAUCUCGCCUCCAUGCUGAAAAAGCCUUCAUUUAUUUCAAGGCACCAGAAUAGCUUGGCAGACGGCGGUGAAAAAUACAAUGGAGGUGCAAAUUGACCAGCAGGACGAAGAUUUCACCUUUAGCACCCCUGAUAGCAAUGGUAAGCGUCCGGCAGAGGACACGGACGAGGAGCAGGCUUUUAAGCGCUCGCGCAACGCCGACGAGAUGUUGGAGCUGCGUGUGCUGCUCCAGAGCAAAAAUGCUGGCGCCGUUAUCGGAAAGGGCGGCAAGAACAUCAAAGCGCUGCGCACCGACUACAAUGCCAGUGUAUCAGUCCCAGACAGCAGUGGCCCAGAGCGGAUCCUGAGCGUGAACGCCAACAUCGACACCAUCGGAGACAUUCUGCUGAAGAUCAUACCUACUUUAGAGGAGUACCAGCAUUACAGCGGCAUCGACUUUGACUGCGAGCUCCGCCUGUUGAUCCAUCAGAGCUUGGCGGGCGGCAUCAUCGGCGUGAAAGGCAGCAAGAUCAAGGAGCUGCGAGAGAAUACACAGACGACCAUCAAGCUAUUCCAAGACUGUUGUCCACAUUCUACAGACAGAGUUGUCUCUGUUGGCGGGAAGCCAGAGCGAGUCGUGGAAUGCAUCAAAGUCAUCCUGGAGCUGGUGGCUGAGGCUCCAAUCAAAGGCCGCACCCAGCCUUAUGACCCCAACUUCUACGAUGAAACGUACGACUACGGCGGCUUCACCGUUAUGUUCGAGGAGCGGAGCCGGCGGUCCAUGGGGGGGUACCCCAUCCGCGUGCGGAGUGGCUUCGAGCACCUUCCCCCCGUGCACGGCAGCCGGUCGCUGCACCCCUCCCGCCGGGAUUAUGACGACCUGAGCCCCCGUCGGGGUCCGCCGCCACCGCUGAGCCAUGGACGAGUGGGCAGCCGACCCCGCAACCUGCCACUCCCACCACCACCUCCGCGAGGUGACAGAUUCUCCCGCAGCAGCUAUCAUGAUGACAGACCAAGUGACAGAAGAAGUCGUGGAGGAGAGCGCUACGAUAGCAUGAGGCCUGUGGUUGCCCAGCAACACUCGUCUCCUUGGUUGUCUUGUGGCAAGCAGUGUAUGCCGUCCGGAGAGCGCCGGGCGAGCAGAGUCGUUCCUGUGCAGCGUCGCUUCAAAUUUAUAAUAAUGAAUCCAUGACUUUGCCGUUAGUAAUUGGAUUAUGUGGAUUUAUGGCGUCAAACAGAGGCCAAAUGGCUGCGACCGGCAGAGGCGCCGCUGACUCACUUUCAACUAGGAGAACAUGACGUCAGCCAGAGGAAGUGUAAAAAGUUAUUCUGCUUAAUAAUCCAAAACAGGAAUUCAGGACAUUCUUUGAGAGUCACCCAUCCCUUUAAAAACAAUCGUUAGAAAUUAACUGUAUAUGAAUUGGUUACCAAUCAACAAGGUGGAAUGGUGAAUAGUUGUUUUUUAUGGGAAUAGCAAAAGGACAUUUCAUAUUAGCAUCGUGUGAUAUGGUUAUCGAUUCAAUUCCAAGUAAAUACAGGGACAGUAUUAUGAUACAGAUACUACUUAAUGAUGAACGUUGAUGCAUCAUCAAAUUAAUAAAUCGAAAGAAUUUUCAUGCCCUUUAACGAUUUUUGUGAUUUUGUUGUUAUUGUUAUGGUUAUUGUAAAACGAUAAUGUAGAAUUGAACAACCGAUAUUAAUUUAUCAUAAUUUUCCCCAUGGUUGAGCAAGGAAACGUAAUCAAAUGCCUAUCUCUCGUAACAACCAAUAUGGACAUGGGAUUGUGAAUCUAGUUGUUUUUAACAGUAGUGGUGUGCGAUACUAAAGAUUUGGUACCAGAGUGUUGAGGUGAACCCGACUAUGUCCAGUCAGAAUUUCUCGACCUCACACACCAGCUCAGACUCUUUCCCUGCCAGAGAGGUGACAUUCCACGUCACCAGAGCCAGCUUGUGUAGCCGGGGAUCGGAUCGCCAAGGUCCUGCCUUUGGCCACCGCCCAGCUCACAUAGCACCCGACCCCGCUGGACCCUGCCACAGGUGGUGAGACCAUGGGAAAGGGAACUCACAUUGCCUUUUCGGGCUGUGCCUGGCCGGGCUCCACAGGUGCAAGCCUGGCCACCAGGCGCUCGCCAUCAAGCCCCACUUCUGGGAUCAGGAAAACUAAAAUAGUAAAAAAACAAAAAAGAAAAGUUCAAUGCUACAUCGCCAAAAUUGAGUACUACACAGGUCUCAAGUUUGUGCACAUUUUCAGCUAUUGUCUUCAAACGUGCAGUACGUUUAGAAAUAAAUCUCUGAAUUUACUUUGCAGGGUCUUCAAGACUUUACCAUCAUAAUACAGUUUUUGUUUAGACACAAUACAACUAACAAAACAGUAAAGCAAAACAAAGAAAAAGUAAUGAUGUCAUUAUCAUCUAUAUCUGUACCGACAUUUGCAUUGAUAUUAUGUACAACGACAUUGAUCCUGCCGUGACUGUUUGAGAGGCCUAACAAGCAAAAUGUAUGACAUCGGAUACAUUUUUCUGUUGGCGUUGCUAAUGGUAAAAAUAAUCAUAUUUUCUAACUGAUCUGUCCCUGUGGACUCAAUCACAUGACUUCAAGUACAACGACAGCUUCAGCGCAUUUCAGCCGAGUAGGCGUCAACCAUCGGAUGGUUCCAAGGUCGUAAAAGUUAAGACUUGACCCACUUACAGUGUGUAUAAGAUAUGUUAUACAAUAAUGGGGAUGCGAUUAUGCUUUCGGAGACUUCGUUCCAAAGUUCAAGUUGUGCCAGAGGGACUGCAGGUGUGACAUUUCAGGUCAACAACGUGUGAAACAUUAAUAUGUGUGUGUGCAUGCAUGUUUGCAUGCGUUUCUGUGUCCGUGUGUGCACCUGGAAUGUUUCCAGAGCCUCACUUGGUCUAGUUAUUUAAUCUAGCCUGCUUUGUCAGAAAUUGAACAUAGAAUGAAUAUUAAGAUGAUAAGCUCUAUUAUACGUUAAGUCUGUGAGCAUGCCAUCUUAAAUCUGACACUAAACCAUAUUUUUCUUUCUCUCCUGUUGCUAAAAUACAGAGUGGAGGCGGUUAUGGUGAGUCUCACCAUUUGUGUUAAUGCAGUAUACAUUAAAAUGAUUGAAUUUGAAUGGUUUAAAUUGCGGUUUUUACCUGUUGUGGUUUGGGUCUUGAACGUAUCCUCGGGAUAAACGGGAGUUCAACUGUACAAGCAAUGUAGGAAGUGUAAAAAUUAUAUAAGUUAACCACUGUUAUUAUUAAGAAGCCUUCGUAUAGUCUUCAGUCAGUAGUUGCGAAUGUAUUAGAGAUCUAAUCUUGUUUACAAGCAUUGGCUCAUUUUUGAAUAAUCAUUUUGUCUUACUUUCUAUUCUGAUGUUUUCAAGACAACAAUUCCUGGGAUCACUUUCAUUCUGGUGGCCGAGGCUCAUACGGUGACAUCGGCGGGCCUGUCAUCACAACGCAAGUCACUAUCCCCAAAGACCUCGCCGGCUCCAUCAUUGGCAAGGGCGGCCAGAGGAUCAAGCAGAUCCGC